UAUUUUGUUCUUGAUGGGUAGGGGCUAGAAGUGAUGCAAAAUUGAGGGCUUUUCCUCUUUCUACCGUCUUAAAAUAUUCUCUCUACGGUUUUCUGCAAAAUCGUGAACGUGGAUCUCUUACAUCUUUCUGCGUUGAAUUGAAAUUAUUGCACUUUCUGUUAUUGCACCUUCUACUUGGGGUUUAGCUUUCACGGAUUGAGAUUUUGAGAUUUCGAUCUCAAGGUUUUAGCUAGGUUUUCUCAGAGGUGAAAUUCGGAGGUUUUUUUGUCGGUGAAUUUUCUCAGGUUUUUGUAAGAUCAAGAGGAAGGAAGGGUUAGGGUUUUAGUCGAUGGCUUCGAAUCCUCCAUUUCAGGUGGAGGAUCAGUCGGAUGAUGAGGAUUUCUUUGAUAAGCUUGUUGAGGAUGAUGACAUGGAGCCUGUUAAGUCUAGUCGUGGCGAAGUUGUUGAUUCUGAUGAUGUCAAAGCUUUUGCGAAUCUGAGUAUAGGUGAUGUUGAUGCUGCUGCUACAUUGGAGAAAUCUGAUGUUGGUGAAAGUGGGGUUGAAGUCAAAGAGGAUUUGAGUAGUGUGAAAUCUGAUGUGAGUUUGGUUGGUGGACAUGAUGAGCAAGAGGGAAAUUCGGCGAUUGCUUCUAGUUCAGUUGAGUGUGAUAGUAUUAGUAAGACAGAUCUUGUUAAGGAAGAAGUUGGGAUUGGAUCAGAGUUCACGGAGGUUUCUGAUGUUGGCAAGAGCAAUGAAGUUGCUAGUUCAGGGAUUAAGGAGAAAGGUUGGAAUUCCUUCCACGCUGAUGCAAAUGAUGGUACCGGGUUUGGAUCGUAUUCUGACUUUUUCAGUGAGUUAGGAGAUCAAUCUGUGGAUUUUCCGGCAAUUUCACACGAUAAUUUUAAUAGUCAGGUGAAUCUUGUCAAUGAAGCUCAAAAUGUUGGCUUUAAUUUUCCGGUGAUUUCACACGAUAAUUUAAAUAGUCAGGUGAAUCUUGUCAAUGAAGCUCAAAAUAUUGGCUUUAAUUUUCCGGCGAUUUCACACGAUAAUUUAAAUAGUCCGGUGAAUCUUGUCAAUGAAGCUCAAAAUGUUGGCUUUAAUACUUCGGUGGAUACCUUGCAAUAUCAAGGGGUUCAGGGUUAUGAUACGGCUUUUGAAUUUGAAAAUCACACGGACAAGCAAGGUGAUGGCUUAAGUUCUCCAGUCAAUUAUGUGCAGUAUCAAGAGAGUGGAGUUUAUGAUGCAUCUUCCAACCAACACAAUAAUGGACAAGAUCUAAGUAGUAGUCAGAAUUUGGAGGAUCCUUAUCCUGGCUGGAGGUAUGACCAUACCAUUGGGCAAUGGCUUCAAAUAGAUGGCUACAACACAACAGCUACCAGUCAGCAAAACUCUGAAGCCAAUACAUCUGUAGAUUGGUCUGCUGCUUCUGAUGGAAAAACAGAAAUCUCUUAUCUGCAGCAAACUGCCCAGUCUGUUGCUGGAGCUUUGGCCGAAGCAGGUACAACUGAAAGUGUAUCUAGCUGGAAUCAGGUUUCACAAGGAAAUAAUGGGUACCCAGAGCAUAUGGUUUUUGAUCCCCAAUAUCCUGGUUGGUAUUAUGACACAAUUGCCCAAGAAUGGCGCUCAUUGGAAACUUACAAUUCAUCCAUUCAGUCUUCUGUUCAUGGACUUGAAAAUGGGCACACUUCUACCAGUAAUUCAUCCCUAAAUAAUAAUAAUAACAAUAUGUAUAGUGAGUAUAACCAGGCUGGUCAUUAUGGAUCACAGGGUCUUGGUAGUCAGGCUGUAAAUGGUAGCUGGAGUAGUUCAUAUGGUGUUAACCAACAACAGCAGGGUUUUGACAUGUAUACGACUGAAGCUACCACUAAAAUAAGGGAUAAUAUAGCUAAUGGUGGUAACCAGCAAGUUAAUAAUUCUUAUGGUUCAGGUAAUCAGCAAGUUAAUCAUUCUUAUGGUUCAGGUAACCAGCAAGUUAAUCAUUCUUUUGGUUCAAGUAUGUCUGGAAUCAAUGAUCAUGUAAAUACUUCAAGCCCCUUUGGAUCAGCUGCAUCAUACAACAAAGUAAACCAUGAUCAUGGUUUGGCUAAUGGAACUUUUGAACCCAAAACUUUUGUCCCUCGUGGGGACUUUGCUCAACAGUUAAAUUAUUCAAACACAAAGUUCGAUGAACAAAAACAAUUCUCAAAUGUUUUUGCUGAAAAUCAGAACUCCCAUAGUUAUUCCCAGCAAUCAGUCCAAGGUGGACAAUAUGCCCCUCAUGCUGGAAGAUCAUCUGCUGGACGUCCUUCUCAUGCUCUGGUAACAUUUGGAUUUGGUGGAAAACUCAUCAUAAUGAAAGAUCCAAGUGUUUUGAGUGCAUCAUAUGGAAGCCAGGAUUCUGCACAAGGUUCUAUAUCUGUGUUGAACUUAAUGGAAGCUGUCACAGGAAGCAUCAAUUCCAUGACUAGUGGAAAUGCUACUGGUGAUUAUUUUCGUGCUCUAAGCCAGCAAUCUUUCCCAGGUCCAUUGGUUGGUGGUAGUGUUGGAAGUAAGGAGCUGUACAAAUGGUUAGAUGAGAGGAUUGCACGCUGCGAAUCACCUGAUAUGGAUUAUAAGAAAGGCGAAAGGUUGAGACUCCUCCUCUCCUUACUUAAAAUAGCUUGUCAGCAUUAUGGAAAACUGCGUUCUCCUUUUGGUACAGACACCAUACUAAAAGAAAGUGAUGCUCCUGAGUCAGCAGUUGCAAAACUUUUUGCAUCUGCCAAGGUGAGUGGCACAGAGUUCACUCAGUAUGGGAUGCCAAGUCAUUGCUUGCAAAAUUUGCCAUCUGAAGAACAAAUGAGGGUAAUUACUGCUGAGGUACAAAAUCUUCUCGUCUCUGGCAAAAAGAUGGAGGCCUUGCAGCAUGCACAAGAAGGACAAUUGUGGGGACCUGCACUUGUUCUGGCUUCACAACUUGGUGAGCAGUUCUAUGUUGAUACAGUGAAGCAAAUGGCUCUUCGCCAGUUGGUUGCAGGAUCACCUCUACGCACAUUAUGCCUUCUAAUUGCUGGACACCCAGCUGAAGUGUUCUCUACCGAAACCUCAAGUAGUGGGUAUCCUGGUGGUUUUAAUAUGCCUCAGCAGUCUGAACAGGUUGGAUCUAAUGGUAUGCUUGACGAUUGGGAAGAGAAUCUGGCUGUAAUAACUUCAAACAGAACCAAAGGUGAUGAGCUUGUAAUAAUUCACCUUGGUGAUUGCUUAUGGAAGGAAAAACGGGAGAUUACUGCUGCACACAUCUGCUAUUUAGUUGCUGAAGCAAACUUCGAGUCAUACUCAGACAGUGCCAGACUUUGCUUAAUAGGAGCAGAUCACUGGAAAUGUCCUCGAACUUAUGCUAGUCCAGAAGCUAUUCAGAGGACAGAGUUAUAUGAAUAUUCAAAGCUGCUUGGAAACUCUCAGUUUGUGUUGCAUUCAUUUCAACCAUAUAAGCUUAUAUAUGCAUAUAUGCUAGCUGAAGUGGGAAAGGUUUCAGAUUCGUUGAAGUACUGUCAAGCGGUACUGAAAUCUUUGAAAACUAGCCGUGCUCCGGAAGUAGAAACGUGGAAACAGCUGGUAUUAUCUCUUGAAGAGAGAAUCAGGACCCACCAACAGGGAGGAUAUGCAGCAAAUUUAGCUCCUGCAAAAUUAGUUGGCAAAUUGCUCAACUUUUUUGAUAGCACUGCCCAUCGAGUUGUUGGUGGUUUACCGCCACCCGGUCCUUCAUCCUCACAAGGGGCUGUACAUGGAAGUGAGCAGAAUUAUCAGCAAAUUGCACCAAGAGUAUCCACUAGCCAGUCAACAAUGGCCAUGUCAUCUUUAGUUCCAUCUGCUUCAAUGGAACCCAUGAGUGAGUGGACAGCUGACGAUAAUAGAAUGGCAAAGGCUAAUAGAAGUGUUUCAGAGUCAGAUAUUGGUAGAUUCCCUAGACAGGAAACGACAUCACCUGAUGCACAAGGAAAAGUCCAGGUAUCAGGGGCUCCAUCACGCUUUUCUCGGUUUGGUUUUGGAUCACAACUUCUCCAAAAGACGGUGGGGCUAGUCAUGAGACCUCGCUCUGGAAACCAGGCUAAAUUGGGUGAGAAAAACAAGUUCUAUUAUGAUGAGAAGCUGAAGAGAUGGGUAGAGGAAGGUGCUGAAAUUCCAGCUGAAGAAGCUGCUCUGCCACCACCACCUCCGACGACUGCUGCUUUCCAGAAUGGUUCAACUGAAUACAAUUUGAAAUCUGCAUUGAAGACAGAAGGUUCGACUCUGAAUGAAUAUUCGAGCACAAGGACGUCAAGUCCAGAACCUAGUCCAGGGAUGCCUCCGAUACCCCCAAGCUCAAAUCAAUUCUCUGCUCGCAGCCGCAUGGGUGUUCGGUCAAGAUAUGUUGACACCUUCAACCAAAAUGGCGGAAGCUCUGCAAACUUGUUUCAGUCCCCUUCCAUUCCAUCUGUGAAACCUGCCCUUCCAGCCAAUGCAAAGUUUUUUAUUCCAGCUCCUGUACCAGCAUCAAAUGAAAGGAAUAUGGAGGCUAUUGCUGAAAGCAACCUAGAAGAUAGUGCAGUUAAUGAAGAUCCUUCUACAUCUUCCACAAAUGAUUGGUCAUUCCAAUCUCCGAAACAUGUACAAACCAUGACCAUGCAAAGGUUUCCAAGUGCCGGUAACAUCUCAAAACAGGGCCUUACAGAUGGCAAUAACUCUGAUUUUUCCCAUUCUCGUCGAACAGCUUCGUGGAGUGGAAGUCUUAAUGAUUCAUUUAGCCCUCCAAAAAUGGGUGAAAAUAAGCAUCCAGGGGAAGCUUACGGCAUGCCACCAUCCACAUUUAAGCCUGAUCCAUCUUUAAUGCGGCCGCCUAUGAGAAGUAGCAGUUUUGGUGAAGAUCUUCAAGAAGUUGAACUAUGAGCAUAUACUCAAGCUUGUAAAUAUCAAAUUUUGUUUUUGAUCAUCAGAAUAAUUGGGACUUCCCUGCUUCAGCAUUUCUCUAGAAGUAUGGAAUAGUGGAACACAUCAGAUGGAGUUUAUACAGAAACAAAAAAUACACCCAUCUCCAUACCCCGUUCCCAUUCUCUUCUCAGUAUUUUUCAAGUUCCCAAAUUCCGACCCGGUGUUGUAUGACUAAAUGUGGUCUGCUUACUUGAUAGUGGGUGCUGUUUUGUUUAAAAUGACAAGAGGUUGACCCCAGCUGCCAUAUCAGGAUUAUGGAACUGGUGUCUUACAGCAAGAAAUAUGGACUCCUCUUUAGGACUCAUUUAUUCAUUUUAUUUUAUUAAACAAGAACACAACAAGGGAAAAUAUGGCCGCAACAGAUCAAGGACAAAGUAUAGUUUAUGGAAUUGGGAAGAGGAUUCAGUGUCUUGAUAUAUAUUGCCUACAGGCUACAGUACGAAGUUGCAAUAAUUCCAGCUAAAUUUGGGGAACUAGAGAUCCGUAAGCACUAUGAGAAGAGAGAAUUUGAUGAGAAAUAAAAGUAUUUCUUUUUUUUAUAGGAGACGUAUAGUUAUUGUCUAAAAAGACAAGUAUCCAUAAACUAAAAGAAUAUUAUGCAUAGUAUGCUAUCCAAAAGUAACAAGAAUUUGUGCCUUUUGGUAAUUUGAUCCCUUUCUUUGCAAACUCUUAGCGCCAUUAAAGAGAUUAGAAUUUGAUUUGGGAAACA